rnacentral:rRNA from 1 species
AUGAAGCAACCAUCAUUUCACUCUUCACUGAAUCCCCUUCUCCCUCAGCGUAUUCAAGAAAGCCAACACUCACAUCUGCCACUGUUCUUCUCUCCCAACGAAGGGAAGGUAAGCGGAUCCGUGAUGUUGGUAUAUUUUCGUUUAGAAAAAAAAGAACUUUUGCAAAGCAGUAACCGAUCCUCACUCUCUUUUUUUGUUUCAUUGCCAUUGCAAUUGUGUUUUCCUUUCAGUGAUCUCCUAGUAUUCGUCAGUUUCAUGACAGACCAAGGAGAACUAGGCAAAGAUCUGCCGAUGUUGGACCAGACGCGGGAGGAUGAUCCCCACGAGACAGAGAGCUCUUAG